rnacentral:rRNA from 1 species
AGCAGCCGCGGUAAUUCCAGCUCCAAUAGCGUAUAUUAAAGUUGUUGCAGUUAAAAAGCUCGUAGUUGAAUUUCGGGAUUCUACCGUUGGUCGGGCUAACCAGUCUGUACUGGCGUGUAGAAUUUCUACCUUCUGGGGAACCAUCAUGUUAUUAAUUUAGCGUGGUGGGAAACCAGGACCUUUACCUUGAAAAAAUUAGAGUGUUCAAAGCAGGCUUACGUCUGAAUACAUUAGCAUGGAAUAAUAAAAUAGGACGGUGGUCCUGUUUUGUUGGUUUCUGAAUCACCGUAAUGAUUAAUAGGGAUAGUUGGGGGCAUUAGUAUUCAAUUGUCAGAGGUGAAAAUUCUUGGAUUUAUUGAAGACUAACUUCUGCGAAAGCAUUUGCCAAGGAUGUUUUCAUUAAUCAAGAACGAAAGUUAGGGGAUCGAAGACGAUCAGAUACCGUCGUAGUCUUAACCAUAAACUAUGCCGACUAGGGAUCGGACGAUGUUAAAUUUAUUGACUCGUUCGCGCCUUACGG